AGCGAACGCUGGCGGCAGGCCUAACACAUGCAAGUCGAACGCUCGUAGCAAUACGAGAGUGGCAGACGGGUGAGUAACGCGUGGGAACGUGCCCUUCGGUUCGGAAUAACCCGGGGAAACUCGGGCUAAUACCGAAUACGUCCGUAAGGAGAAAGAUUUAUCGCCGAAGGAUCGGCCCGCGUCGGAUUAGCUAGUUGGUGAGGUAACGGCUCACCAAGGCGAUGAUCCGUAGCUGGUCUGAGAGGACGAUCAGCCACACUGGGACUGAGACACGGCCCAGACUCCUACGGGUGGCAG
rnacentral:rRNA from 1 species